UGGGGAAUAUUGGACAAUGGAGGAAACUCUGAUCCAGCAAUUCUGUGUGUGUGAAGAAGGUUUUAGGACUGUAAAACACUUUUAGUAGGGAAGAAAAAAAUGACGGUACCUACAGAAGAAGCAACGGCUAAAUACGUGCCAGCAGCCGCGGUAAUACGUAUGUUGCGAGCGUUGUCCGGAAUUAUUGGGCGUAAAGGGUACGUAGGCGGUCUAUUAAGUCAGGUGUGAAAGCGUGAGGCUUAACCUCAUUAAGCACUUGAAACUGAUAGACUUGAGUGAAGGAGAGGAAAGUGGAAUUCCUAGUGUAGCGGUGAAAUGCGUAGAUAUUAGGAGGAAUACCGGUGGCGAAGGCGACUUUCUGGACUUUUACUGACGCUCAGGUACGAAAGCGUGGGGAGCAAACAGG
rnacentral:rRNA from 1 species